UCUUCAUCCUUGGUAUGGAAGUGAGAACCCUGUACUUGGCAAGUGCUCAGGAGAUACUGUCUGCCACACUUGUGCUGCCCAGCCUGUGGGAUUCCAUGUCAACCUGCUAGACCUUCUCUCACACUCCUGGAACUUUCCCAGCUUCCUGACACCUUGACUGACUCAAGACACAGCCAGGCCUACAACAAAAUGAAUUCAUAUCUACUCAUUUUAAAAGGUUGAAUGCGAGCUCCGUAAGAGAGUUGCUGCUGCUGUCACUACCACAUGCUAGGGCCUGGCACAGAGCGGGGCACAGCAGGAGGUCAAUAGACACAAAGGACACAUGGAUGCCAGGCAGGGUAGGCUCCGA